GAGUGUGAGCUGUCUGGCUGUGACAUAUGCCACUCUGCUGAUUGCCAGGGCUCAUUCUUGGAUCUGGAGGGCUGGGUGUCUCCUUCCUCACCGGCUCCAUAUGUCUGUGUCAUUUCCCUGAGUUGCACAGUCAGCGGAAGAGGACCUGCCAUAGAGGAGGACCCCACUCCAGUCAAGGGUAUACCAGGCAGCAGCUGUACUCCCCUAAUAGAACUCCAAAUGAGCUCUCAAAAUAGACUUACCAGUCAGGAUCCGUCACCUGUAUCACCAGCCUUUGAGAUCACACUUACGUUGUCCCCAGAG
rnacentral:snRNA from 1 species